UGGAAGAGGGUGAAAGAGAGGGGCCACCCCCGGAGCUUCCCGCCCCCCUACCUUCUCGAGAGCUCUCCGCUUUGUGCGGCCUCUGUAGGCUACGCCUGGGGACUGCCCUCCCGGGGUGAAGCUUCAGCCCCCGCGGGAUGCGGCGCUCCUUUUUUUGGAAGCGAGUUCCUAAGGGCCAAAACGGCUCGGCCCAGUGUUCGGGUGGUUGCAGGGGCUCGUGACCGCGUGGAACAUUUACAAGCACUGCACUUUACUGGACCCCCUGCUGGAGGGAAGAAGGCCAGAAAUGAAUACACUUGGAAUCUUGAUAACAGUCUAGCAGGGGAACUAAGACUACAUCAAAUAACUAGUUGGAUUCUUUACCAGCUGAGCCACAAGAGAAACCCAUCAAUGGAUAUACACAGCAAUAUCUUCAAGCUAUUUUGUAGAAACUGAAAUCCCUUCCGGGAGGGAGAAGUUACCGAUAUGUAAACCCCAG
rnacentral:lncRNA from 1 species